GUGCCACUGCACUCCAGCCAGGACAACAGUGGGAGACUCCAUCUCAAAAAAAGAAAAAGUCCUCUUUGCAUAGUUUUGUAUUUGUAGGAGUGCUUAUGGGUGCUGAAGGGUCUGUAGGAAAGAUGGACUUUAUCAGAUUAAUGUAAAAUUUACAGGAUAUACACUAGCUAAUAGCAAGGAAAUCCUUUACUCAAUAUACUCACAAAAUGGAUUAGAAAACCAAAAACAAACACUACAAUAAACCACCAAAUCAUGCCUUGCUCCAAUGUCUCUUCCUGUAUCUCUUCCUGUAUUUUUCACUGCUCCUUAUAAGAGGUUCAUGUAAUGCUUUCUUUGUAGAAUUUCAUAGUGGGAAAUUUCAUCUUUCAUGAAGAGCUUGUAGGCUUCCUGCAACAACCAUGGAAAUGUGUCCACUGGAUCUCUCUCCAAGAAGGAACUUGCCAAUCAGCCAUGAGAAGUGCAGUGAGCUGUCAUUCCCCCAGGUGCAACAUUUAGCCGAGGCCAGGCUCUUCCCAGGAAGACCCCAGCCAAGGACAGAACAGGACUAAAUGAAGAUCAAGUCUGAAAGUCAUUCACUUUGUCAUCUGUUGGCUCUACCUUUGACUCAAGUGCCAGCCUCUUCAUCUCUCUCCUGGAUUCCUAUAAUACCUUCUCAGCUUCGGCUGUCAUUUCCCCUCCACACACAGCCAGCAUGAGUGACUGCAAAAUCAAAGUCCUGAGCUGGUCUCCCCACUCACUCAAAGGCCCUGUAGGACAGUGUCCCUCUGUGAUGGCAUAGCCACGCUGGCCUCUUGGCUGUUCCUCAGAUAUCCCAUGCUGCUGCCACCUUGAGCACUUGCUGGUUUAUCUGCCUGAUUCAAUGCUCUUCUCCCGACAUUUAUCCACAUGGACCCAUCUGCAAAGUUCUCAAGUUUCUGCUCAGAGUCACCUCAUCAGGUUGGUGACAACCUUAUUUAAAAUAGCUCUUCUUCUCCAUAUCUCCUUGCCUGACUUCAUUUUUAUCAUAGCAAUUGUAUUGAUUUGUUUUGUUGUUUAUUGUGUGUCUCCCUAUUCUAGAAUGUAAGCUCCUUGAGGACAGGGACUUGUCUGCUUGACUUGUUUCUAUCAGGGUGUCAGGACAGGGCAUAUGGUAGGUGCUUAAUAAAUAUGUGUGGGUGAAUGGACAAUGAUUCAUGGAUGAUAUCCAGAGGGUAAUGGUGAUUGCCAGUCAUGGGCAUAUGGCAUUUUGUUUUACAAUAUUUUUAUACAUAUGGGAUAUUAUUAUUAUUAUUUUUGAGACAGAGUUUCGCUCUGUCACCCAGGCCAGAGUGCAGUGGCAUGAUCUUGGCUGACUGCAGCUUUGACUUUCCAGUCUCACACAAUCCUCCCACCUCAGCCUCCCAAGUAGCUGGGACUACAUGCAUGCACCACCAUGCCUGGCUAAUUUUUUAAAUUUUUGGUAGGGCUAGGGCUUCACUAGGUUUCUCAGGCAGGUCUCAAACUCCUAGGCUCAAGUGACCUUCCUACCUAAGCCUCCCAAAGUGCUGGGAUUACAGGGAUGAGCCACCAGGCCCUGCCAAUACUAUUAUUUUUGUUGCUUCAUGAUACGUUUUAGAAAUCUUUUAUGUUAGUUAAAUGGAAAACUGUCUUGUUCUUUUUGACUGCUACAUACCAUUCCUCAGUGUGGGUGUACCGUGAUGUAACCAUUCCCUCCUUAGUAGUCCUUGUUUGCAAUUUUUCUAUUUUAUUUCAUUGCAAAUAGAGCUUUGAGAAACACCUUUGCACAUGUGGUUUUGGGGACAUGCAUUAUCAUUUCUUUCAUGUUGAACUCCUUCAAGUGAAAUUUCCAGGUGUAAGUCACAGCUGCCCAAUAGCUUUCUGCAAU
rnacentral:lncRNA from 10 species